rnacentral:rRNA from 1 species
AGCGAACGCUGGCGGCAGGCCUAACACAUGCAAGUCGAACGAACCCUUCGGGGUUAGUGGCGGACGGGUGAGUAACACGUGGGAACGUACCUUUAGGUUCGGAACAACACAGGGAAACUUGUGCUAAUGCCGAAUGUGCCCUUCGGGGGAAAGAUUUAUCGCCUUUAGAGCGGCCCGCGUCUGAUUAGCUUGUUGGUGAGGUAAAGGCUCACCAAGGCUUCGAUCAGUAGCUGGUCUGAGAGGAUGAUCAGCCACACUGGGACUGAGACACGGCCCAGACUCCUACGGGAGGCAGCAGUGGGGAAUCUUGCGCAAUGGGCGAAAGCCUGACGCAGCCAUGCCGCGUGAAUGAUGAAGGUCUUAGGAUU